GGUUAAGCGACUAAGCGUACACGGUGGAUGCCCUGGCAGUCAGAGGCGAUGAAGGACGUGCUAAUCUGCGAAAAGCGUCGGUAAGGUGAUAUGAACCGUUAUAACCGGCGAUGUCCGAAUGGGGAAACCCAGUGCAAUUCGUUGCACUAUCGUUAACUGAAUACAUAGGUUAACGAGGCGAACCGGGGGAACUGAAACAUCUAAGUACCCCGAGGAAAAGAAAUCAACCGAGAUUCCCCCAGUAGCGGCGAGCGAACGGGGAGCAGCCCAGAGUCUGAAUCAGCUUGUGUGUUAGUGGAACGGUCUGGAAAGUCCGACGGUACAGGGUGAUAGUCCCGUACACCAAAAUGCACAGGCUGUGAACUCGAAGAGUAGGGCGGGACACGUGGUAUCCUGUCUGAAUAUGGGGGGACCAUCCUCCAAGGCUAAAUACUCCUGACUGACCGAUAGUGAACCAGUACCGUGAGGGAAAGGCGAAAAGAACCCCGGCGAGGGGAGUGAAAAAGAACCUGAAACCGUGUACGUACAAGCAGUGGGAGCACCUUCGGGUGUGACUGCGUACCUUUUGUAUAAUGGGUCAGCGACUUAUAUUCUGUAGCAAGGUUAACCGUAUAGGGGAGCCGCAGGGAAACCGAGUCUUAACUGGGCGUUAAGUUGCAGGGUAUAGACCCGAAACCCGGUGAUCUAGCCAUGGGCAGGUUGAAGGUUGGGUAACACUAACUGGAGGACCGAACCGACUAAUGUUGAAAAAUUAGCGGAUGACUUGUGGCUGGGGGUGAAAGGCCAAUCAAACCGGGAGAUAGCUGGUUCUCCCCGAAAGCUAUUUAGGUAGCGCCUCGUGAACUCAUCUUCGGGGGUAGAGCACUGUUUCGGCUAGGGGGUCAUCCCGACUUACCAACCCGAUGCAAACUACGAAUACCGAAGAAUGUUAUCACGGGAGACACACGGCGGGUGCUAACGUCCGUCGUGAAGAGGGAAACAACCCAGACCGCCAGCUAAGGUCCCAAAGUCAUGGUUAAGUGGGAAACGAUGUGGGAAGGCACAGACAGCCAGGAUGUUGGCUUAGAAGCAGCCAUCAUUUAAAGAAAGCGUAAUAGCUCACUGGUCGAGUCGGCCUGCGCGGAAGAUGUAACGGGGCUAAACCAUGCACCGAAGCUGCGGCAGCGACACUAUGUGUUGUUGGGUAGGGGAGCGUUCUGUAAGCCUGCGAAGGUGUGCUGUGAGGCAUGCUGGAGGUAUCAGAAGUGCGAAUGCUGACAUAAGUAACGAUAAAGCGGGUGAAAAGCCCGCUCGCCGGAAGACCAAGGGUUCCUGUCCAACGUUAAUCGGGGCAGGGUGAGUCGACCCCUAAGGCGAGGCCGAAAGGCGUAGUCGAUGGGAAACAGGUUAAUAUUCCUGUACUUGGUGUUACUGCGAAGGGGGACGGAGAAGGCUAUGUUAGCCGGGCGACGGUUGUCCCGGUUUAAGCAUGUAGGCUGAUUGUCCAGGCAAAUCCGGAUAAUCAAGGCUGAGGUGUGAUGACGAGGCACUACGGUGCUGAAGUAACAAAUGCCCUGCUUCCAGGAAAAGCCUCUAAGCAUCAGGUAACAUUAAAUCGUACCCCAAACCGACACAGGUGGUCAGGUAGAGAAUACCAAGGCGCUUGAGAGAACUCGGGUGAAGGAACUAGGCAAAAUGGUGCCGUAACUUCGGGAGAAGGCACGCUGGUGUGUAGGUGAAGUCCCUGCGGAUGGAGCUGAGACCAGUCGAAGAUACCAGCUGGCUGCAACUGUUUAUUAAAAACACAGCACUGUGCAAACACGAAAGUGGACGUAUACGGUGUGACGCCUGCCCGGUGCCGGAAGGUUAAUUGAUGGGGUUAUCCGUAAGGAGAAGCUCUUGAUCGAAGCCCCGGUAAACGGCGGCCGUAACUAUAACGGUCCUAAGGUAGCGAAAUUCCUUGUCGGGUAAGUUCCGACCUGCACGAAUGGCGUAAUGAUGGCCAGGCUGUCUCCACCCGAGACUCAGUGAAAUUGAACUCGCUGUGAAGAUGCAGUGUACCCGCGGCAAGACGGAAAGACCCCGUGAACCUUUACUAUAGCUUGACACUGAACAUUGAGCCUUGAUGUGUAGGAUAGGUGGGAGGCUUUGAAGCGUGGACGCCAGUCUGCGUGGAGCCAACCUUGAAAUACCACCCUUUAAUGUUUGAUGUUCUAACGUUGGCCCCUGACCGGGGUUGCGGACAGUGUCUGGUGGGUAGUUUGACUGGGGCGGUCUCCUCCCAAAGCGUAACGGAGGAGCACGAAGGUUAGCUAAUCCUGGUCGGACAUCAGGAGGUUAGUGCAAUGGCAUAAGCUAGCUUGACUGCGAGCGUGACGGCGCGAGCAGGUGCGAAAGCAGGUCAUAGUGAUCCGGUGGUUCUGAAUGGAAGGGCCAUCGCUCAACGGAUAAAAGGUACUCCGGGGAUAACAGGCUGAUACCGCCCAAGAGUUCAUAUCGACGGCGGUGUUUGGCACCUCGAUGUCGGCUCAUCACAUCCUGGGGCUGAAGUAGGUCCCAAGGGUAUGGCUGUUCGCCAUUUAAAGUGGUACGCGAGCUGGGUUUAGAACGUCGUGAGACAGUUCGGUCCCUAUCUGCCGUGGGCGCUGGAGAAUUGAGGGGGGCUGCUCCUAGUACGAGAGGACCGGAGUGGACGCAUCACUGGUGUUCGGGUUGUCAUGCCAAUGGCACUGCCCGGUAGCUAAAUGCGGAAGAGAUAAGUGCUGAAAGCAUCUAAGCACGAAACUUGCCCCGAGAUGAGUUCUCCCUGAGACUUUAAGUCUCCUGAAGGAACGUUAAAGACGAUGACGUUGAUAGGCCGGGUGUGUAAGCGCAGCGAUGCGUUGAGCUAACCGGUACUAAUGAACCGUGAGGCUUAACCUU
rnacentral:rRNA from 2 species